AUUGAACGCUGGCGGCAGGCCUAACACAUGCAAGUCGAACGAGUGGCGGACGGGUGUGUAAUAUCUGGGAAAAUGUUCGAUGGAGGGGGAUAAAUACUGGACACGCUAGCUAAAAUCGCAUACGCUAGGAUGUGCCCCGAUGUGAGUAGCUAGUAGAUGGGGUAAAGCCGCACAUAGGCGAGGAUCCCUAGCGGGUCUGAGAGGAUGACAAGCCACACUGGAACGGAUGCACGGUCCAGACUCCUACGGGAGGCAGCAGUGGGGAAUAUUGCACAAGGGGCGCAAGCCUUAUGCAGCCAUGCCGAGUGUAUGAAGAAGGCCUUCGGGUUGUAAAGUACUUUCAGCGAGUAGGCGUUACUCGCAGAAGAAGCACCGGCUAACUCCGUGCCAGCGGCCGCGGUAAUUC
rnacentral:rRNA from 1 species